rnacentral:rRNA from 1 species
UUGAUGGAGAGUUUGAUCCUGGCUCAGGACGAACGCUGGCGGCGUGCCUAAUACAUGCAAGUCGGG